ACCUCCUCAGGACAGACCUGCAGUACACCCAGAAUUCUGUGAGGUCUCAUCAGACCUGAAUUUUCCUCAUUGCCAUCUGAUCAAGAUCCAACAGGUUCUGGGUAUAAAGGCUCAUCACAUCAGCUUACUGGAUCCACAACCACAUUUAUCUAAAAUAAGAUACUUUCUCGUUCUAGACUGAGUUGAAGGGGAUCUCUCCAUACCAGGCCAUGAGGGUGAGCCGGGUGUUACAGCUGUCCAUCUGCCUGGUGGGCCUCAGCCUGGCAUGGUGCUCUCCACCACCAGGCAAACCCUCCAUAGAGGGGGGUGGCCAGGUUCCUGUGGGCCAGAUACAGGUGCUCUCUGUGGGGCUGCUCCAACUGCUCCAGGGGGUGCGGGAGAGUGCCUGGAGGAUGGAGAGGCAGGGCGACCAAGUGUCAGAGGAGCUGAUGGGAGACACCCAGGUUGUGGAGAGGCUACGAGAGCAAGGUGUGCAGGUAGGAAGGACCCACAGGCAGGUGACGAAGAACCUCCAGAUGAUGACAGCACAGAGCGACAGGCUGGAGAAUGCAGCUCAGGACAUGCAGCUGGGACUGGAGACUUUAUUGGCCGAGCAAGGUGCCUUGGAGCUCAGGAUGUGCCGUGUCCUGGAGAGGGUGCAGAGCAUAACCAAGCCAGUUCUAAGGAUGGAAAAGCAGCUUAAUAUGAACCUGAUGAAGGUGAUAGUGGACACUCAGUCCAGACGUCUGGCUGACCUAGCCUUGGAAGUUAUGACCAGAGACAGAUUGAUUGAUAAGCAUCUGCAGCACAUUGUUGACCUGGAGGAACAGGUAUAGUGCAUUGGCGCCACGGUUGUACACCGACAAAAUACAAAUUGAGACAUAACUAGAUAGAAACCCUUGUUCUCAUAAAACUAAUGUACACGACCAAAGAAAUACCAAAGAGCAUAUAAAGACCAGCACAAACUGUACAUAAAACAUCCUGUCUUACAAUCAGAGACAGCAAUGGGUAUGGAAAGUAUAGGCUACACGUUUGAUUGAGUCUUUAGAGAACAACUAUUUGGGGUGAUAUCCAUGCUUUUUCCCUGCUCUGUGUGCUACUGAUGUAGUGUGUUUUUCUCUGUGAAGCACCAUAUGUUUUAGGAGUGUAAAGGAAUGGAACAUUGCUGUUCCUUCUCUGUGUUUGUGUGUGUUCCAGGCGUCUCGUAUCAGAGGGGAGAGGCCUCCCACCAGCGCUGAGGGCAGGUUCUGAUGAUGGCUCUGGCCCUUGUCUGGGCAACAACCACAGCUGCAUCAAUAUAAACACUCCAUUCAAAACUAUAAGAAAACAACAUAGUUAUAGUGGAAAUCUGAGAAAGAAAGACACAUAGCAUUAUUCAUACCAUAUUCAAGCUUCAUUUCUUCAUCCAGAUACUAUGAGAUGAUCUGAUUGGAAUUUUAAAAGGUAGACAUCCUUGUUGGGUAAUCUCCAAAGUGGUGUGGCUCUGUGUUAAUGUUUGAGGUUCAUAUUUGGAAGCUUUGUAUUUGCAAUCCCUUGUCAGCUGGUGCCUCUAGGGCAAUUCAGGCAGAUGUUAGAGGGCCCUUUUACUGAAGCAUGUGUUUGUUUCAUACAAUUGUGUUUUGCUUUUGUUGUUUUCUUUUCUUUUCAUGCAUUGUGUAAUUGAUGUGUAUAGAUAUCCAUACUAGUGUAAGGGUUGUUUAUUGAUGUGUUCAUGCAGGGCUCAUCUACAAAAGAGACCUUGGUCUCAGCAUGACUCAAUGCUUAAAACUGCAAUAUGUAACUUUUUGGGAAACUCCACCAAAUUGACAUAGACAUUUGUGUUAUAGAUCUGUCAUUCGCAUUGAAAGCAAGUCUAAGAAGUGGUAGAUCUGUUCUAUGUGCACUAUUUCUAUGCUACCCAUGCUUAAGUUUUGUUUUUGCAUCUUUUACUUUAGCUUUUGUACACCAACUUCAAACAAGAUGAAAAUACAAUAUUUUGGGUUAUGGACAAUAUAUUUUACAGUGGUUUAGAUGGUACAAUGAUUCGCUACACUAUAUUGCUUGUUUUGCCACAUAAACUGAAAUUAGGCAAACUAUUAGAAUUUUAGCAACCAGUAUAUUUCUGCAUAGUGCAUCUUUAAAUAAAGGCUAACCCUUUUUAAAUAAAUGCAACCACAAUCAAAUAAACAGAUUCAAGGUAAUGGACUGGAUCAGACUGCCUGGAAAAAAAAUAUUCCUGUCAACUUUGGCUGAUUGGCUAAUUCUCCUUGAACGUAAAAAAAAAUAAAAAUAAAAAAUAAAAAAGGCUCUGUGGCUGUAUUCUAGAGGUACAGGAGACCUCCUACCGCCAAAAUCAGGAGAUUCUCAUCUUCUCAGCUGUCUGACAACCAAAUGUGGCAAAGGUUGUGUGUGAAAGCUUUGAGGACUAAGGUCCUAUCUGAUGGCCUCAAGUCUGUGAGAUCUAAAUGCAUGAAUGCUGUCCGACUGGUGUUCCCCAAAAAAAACAGCCAGAGCAACAAACUCUGACCCAACAUGCCAAAGAGAAUAUACAGUAAUGUUCCUGUAAAUCUAUUUGAAAUGUGCCUACAGUUCUUCAUUUGACUUGGACAUUUUAGCCAUUUAGCAGACGCUCUUAUCCAGAGCAACCUACAGGAGCAAUUAGGGUUAGGUACUUUGCUCAAGGCCACAUCGACUGAUUUGUUUCACCUAGUUGGCUCAGGGAUUCGAACCAUCAUCUUUUCUGCACAACACUCUUACCCGCUAGCUACCAGACACCCCACUGACAUACUCCAACAGGUCUUUACUCUUGAAUUAAUUUACAUUUCAUUUCAGCCAACCUAUGUUACCAGACAUGCCUAUUGAAGAUGGAAGAUCAAAGCCAAUUGAGUGUGCAAUUUCAUUGUCACACACAAUAUGUUCAGUUUCAGGUAUGAUCUUUGUCAUAUUGUGUAGAGUAUGAUGAUGAGCUUCAGAGUAUAGUAGCUCUAGGCUAUCAUGAUUCUGAACUACACUGAACAAAAUAUAAAUGCAACAUGUAAAGUGUAUGUUUCAACAUGCAACACGUUGAAAUAAAAGAUCCCCGAAUAUUUCCGUAUGCAC
ensembl:lncRNA